AGCUCCAAUAGCGUAUAUUAAAGUUGUUGCAGUUAAAACGCUCGUAGUCGGAUUUCGGGGCUUGCUCGCCGGUCUGCCGAUGGGUAUGCACUGGCGAGCGUGUCCUUUCUUCCGGAGACUGAUCCUACUCUUAACUGAGCGGGGUCGGGAGUCGGGACUUUUACUUUGAAAAAUCAGAGUGUUUCAAGCAGGCGUCUCGCUAUGCAUGGAUUAGCAUGGGAUAAUGAAAUAGGACUUUGGUGCU
rnacentral:rRNA from 1 species